GGAUGUGAGGGUGAUCUGGCUGCGACAUCUGUCACCCCAUUGAUCGCCAGGGUUGAUUCGGGUGAUCUGGCUGGCUAGGCAGGUGUCCCCUUCCUCCCUCAUGGCUCCAUGUGUGUCCCUCCCGAAGCUGUGUGCUCGGUUGAAGAGGACAGUCUUCCCCCGAAUAGAGACGGACUGGUCUUCGGUCGAGGGUAUACGAGUAGAUGUGCUCCCCUGCUAGAACCUCCAAACAAGCUCUCAAGAAUUGCAGAUAGGCACAAGAUGGCUUUUUUUUUUUUUAAUUGGUGGGAGUGUUAUAAACUGAAUUGUGAAUUU
ensembl:misc_RNA 7SK 7SK RNA